UCUGCCGCAGGUACAGCAGCUCACCAGGGGGACAAGCAAAGCCCCCACUCAGGUGGGAGACGCGGUGGACACAGCCUGUAGUACUUGACACUCCGGAAAAUCAAUAGCAACAUGGCCAGGAGUGAACUAGGGGCCUCUCGUUCGCUCGCUGUGGCAUGAUCUAUGUGACAAUGAGUGAAUUUUUGUACACCGAAUUCGUGAGGUAAUAAAUGUGCUACACGUAAACAAGAGAAGCUUAAAAGGAACACUUAAUUCCCCAUGCCAGACGAGACACUAGAUUUCCCCCAAAGUGAAGUCAGUUUGUUUAUACGGACUGGUUAAACCAUCUUGAACUAUAUUUGUAGUAAAGAUGAAGUCCAUCUUCUAUACCUUCUUCAUACCUGCGUUUUUAUCAGGAUCGCGUGGUGGAGCAGCAGAUUAUGUUGGAGGAUUUACAUCGAAAACUUUCUCGGCCCAAGAGGAGCUGUUAAUUCCAUCCAGGGGCCGCCCAGCUGCCCGGGACUUC